UACGGAGGGUGCAAGCGUUAAUCGGAAUUACUGGGCGUAAAGCGCACGCAGGCGGUCUGUCAAGUCGGAUGUGAAAUCCCCGGGCUCAACCUGGGAACUGCAUUCGAAACUGGCAGGCUGGAGUCUUGUAGAGGGGGGUAUAAUUCCAGGUGUAGCGGUGAAAUGCGUAGAUAUAUGGAGGAACACCAGUGGCGAAGGCGGCUCUCUGGUCUGUAACUGACGCUGAGGCUCGAAAGCGUGGGAAGCAAACAGGAUUAGAUACCCUGGUAGUCCACGCUGUAAACGAUGUCGACUUGGAGGUUGUUCCCUUGAGGAGUGGCUUCCGGAGCUAACGCGUUAAGUCGACCGCCUGGGGAGUACGGCCGCAAGGUUAAA
rnacentral:rRNA from 1 species